CCUACGGGAGGCAGCAGUGGGGAAUAUUGGACAAUGGGCGAAAGCCUGAUCCAGCCAUGCCGCGUGUGUGAAGGAGGCCUUCGGGUUGUAAAGCACUUUCAGUGGGGAAGAAAGCCUUGGGGCUAAUACCCUCGAGGAAGGACAUCACCCACAGAAGAAGCACCGGCUAACUCCGUGCCAGCAGCCGCGGUAAUACGGAGGGUGCGAGCGGUAAUCGGAAUUACUGGGCGUAAAGCGCGCGUAGGCGGUCUGAUAAGCCGGUUGUGAAAGCCCCGGGCUCAACCUGGGAACGGCAUCCGGAACUGUCAGGCUAGAGUGCAGGAGAGGAAGGUAGAAUUCCCGGUGUAGCGGUGAAAUGCGUAGAGAUCGGGAGGAAUACCAGUGGCGAAGGCGGCCUUCUGGACUGACACUGACGCUGAGGUGCGAAAGCGUGGGUAGCAAACAGGAUUAGAUACCCGAGUAGUC
rnacentral:rRNA from 1 species